rnacentral:rRNA from 1 species
GAUGAACGCUAGCGGCAGGCUUAAUACAUGCAAGUCGAGGGGCAUCGCGGGUAGCAAUACCUGGCGGCGACCGGCGCACGGGUGCGUAACGCGUAUGUAAUCUACCUUUAACCGGGGAAUAGCCCAGAGAAAUCUGGAUUAAUGCCCUAUAGUAUUAUUGGAAGGCAUCUUUCGAUAAUUAAAGCUCCGGCGGUUUUAGAUGAACAUGCGUGUCAUUAGUUAGUUGGCGAGGUAACGGCUCACCAAGACUACGAUGACUAGGGGGUCUGAGAGGAUGAUACGCCACAACGGUAAUGAGAAAAGGACCAGACUGCGACGGGAGGAAGAAGUAAGGAAUAUGGGGGAAUGGAGGCAACUCUGACCCAGCCAGGCCGCGUGAAGAAUGACGGCCCUCGUGGUUGUAAACUUCUUUGGUACGGGAAUAACCCUCCGAACGUGUUCGGAGCUGAAGGUACCGUAAGAAGAAGGAUCGGCUAACUCCGUGCCAGCCGCCGCAGUAACAC